rnacentral:tRNA from 1 species
CCCUCGAUAACUCAGUUGGAAGAGUGCACGGCUGUAAUGGAUUAUUGUUACCGUGAUGUCGCUGGUUCGAUCCCGGCUCGAGGGA